rnacentral:rRNA from 1 species
UGGCUCAGGAUGAACGCUGGCGGCGUGCUUAACACAUGCAAGUCGAACGGGGUAGCAAUACCCUAGUGGCGGACGGGUGAGUAACGCGUGAGGAUCUGGCCUUAGGAGGGGGAUAACCGUUGGAAACGACAGCUAAUACCCCAUAUGCCGAGAGGUGAAAUGAGAUUUGCCUAAGGAUGAGCUCGCGUCCGAUUAGCUAGUUGGUGGGGUAACGGCCUACCAAGGCGACGAUCGGUAGCUGGUCUGAGAGGAUGAUCAGCCACACUGGGACUGAGACACGGCCCAGACUCCUACGGGAGGCAGCAGUGGGGAAUUUUCCGCAAUGGGCGAAAGCCUGACGGAGCAACGCCGCGUGAGGGAGGAAUGCCUGUGGGGUUGUAAACCUCUUUUCUCUGUGAAGAUAAUGACGGGUAGCAGAGGGAAUCAGCAUCGGGCUAACUCCGUGCCAGCCGCCGCCGUAAC